UACAGAGGAGCCAAGCGUUGUCCGGAUUGACUGGGCGUAAAGCGCACGCAGGCGGUCGCGCGCGUGGGGUGUGAAAUCUGGCCGCUUAACGGCCAGGCGCCAUCCCAUACGGCGCGACUGGAGGGAUGCAGAGGUCGAUGGAAUUGCCGGUGUAGUGGUGAAAUGCGCAGAUAUCAGGAAGAACACCAAUGGCGAAAGCAGCUCUCUGGGACGGUACUGACGCUGAGACGCGAAAGCGUGGGGAGCGAACAGG
rnacentral:rRNA from 1 species